rnacentral:rRNA from 1 species
GAUGAACGCUAGCGGCAGGCCUAACACAUGCAAGUCGAGGGAGAGGUUAUCUUCGGGUAACCAAAACCGGCGCACGGGUGCGUAAUGCGUAUACAAUCUGCCUUUCACAUAGGGAUAGCCCGAAGAAAUUUGGAUUAAUACCUAAUGGUAUAUAGGAGCGGCAUCGUUUUUAUAUUAAAGCUACGGUGGUGAAAGAUGAGUAUGCGUUCUAUUAGCUAGUUGGAGAGGUAACGGCUCCCCAAGGCGACGAUAGAUAGGGGUUCUGAGAGGGAUGUCCCCCACACUGGUGCUGAGAUACGGACCAGACUCCUACGGGAGGCAGCAGUGAGGAAUAUUGGACAAUGGUCGGAAGACUGAUCCAGCCAUGCCGCGUGCAGGAUGAAGGUCCUAUGGAUUGUAAACUGCUUUUGUAAGGGAAGAAUAAGGAGUACGUGUACUUUGAUGACGGUACCUUACGAAUAAGCAUCGGCUAACUCCGUGCCAGCAGCCGCGGUAAUACGGAGGAUGCGAGCGUUAUCCGGAAUCAUUGGGUUUAAAGGGUCCGUAGGCGGGCUGAUAAGUCAGAGGUGAAAGCGCUUAGCUCAACUAAGCAACUGCCUUUGAAACUGUCAGUCUUGAAUGAUUGUGAAGUAGUUGGAAUGUGUAGUGUAGCGGUGAAAUGCUUAGAUAUUACACAGAACACCGAUAGCGAAGGCAUAUUACUAACAAUUUAUUGACGCUGAUGGACGAAAGCGUGGGGAGCGAACAGG